UACAGAGGGUGCAAGCGUUAAUCGGAAUUACUGGGCGUAAAGCGCACGCAGGCGGUUGGUUAAGUCAGAUGUGAAAGCCCCGGGCUCAACCUGGGAAUUGCAUUUGAAACUGGCCAACUAGAGUACGUGAGAGGGGGGUAGAAUUCCAAGUGUAGCGGUGAAAUGCGUAGAGAUUUGGAGGAAUACCAGUGGCGAAGGCGGCCCCCUGGCACGAUAUUGACGCUCAGGUGCGAAAGCGUGGGGAGCAAACAGG
rnacentral:rRNA from 1 species